CUCAUUAUGGCCAGUCACAUGCCAGAGACCACUUCGUAAGGGACAUAAACAGAAAAUAGGGAGCCACAGGGAAUUUAUACAGCAAGAAAAUAACCCAUAGCAUCAGAGAAAAGCAGUCUAAAUCCCCCUCAGAUAUUGUCCCUAAUGCUGCCUUUUGUAAUCUCUCUCCUCUUUCCUGAGCUCCAAUUCUCCCUUCACUAAAAUUUUUGGAUUUUCUUAUAACAGGACUGUUGAUACACCAGCCUGUAUUUCAAGAUGCCUUUCAUCUCUUUAGACACAAAUACUGUUCCAGAGCUCCACCUACUUGGGAACAUCCUUCUUGUUGCCUGCUCCACCCCUACAAUGUGGGCACCUGCUAUUGCAAAGUCACUGCCCUGACUUUCUCCACAUUUCUUAACUUUCACUUUAGGUAGAACACAGAGCAAUGGACCCUCUCUAGGAGAUGUCCUCUGGGUGCCACGGAAUCAUGUAUGAAGAGUCAUAGGCAUCCUUUUUCCAGUGUGUGUGGACUCAGACUAAACGAAUAUGAAAAUUAUCUGCAUGGAAGAGAGAGCCUAGCCUAUAUGCUUCUUUCUCAGGACCUUCUUGUGUCUCCAAAGAAAGUUACUCCAUGCUAUUACUGGUAGCUGCCUGAUCCCAGAAAUCCAGUGUGAUGAAGACCAUGAGGCCAUAGAGCUCUACUUUCUCACCUUUUCUAGUUUCCUUCCUCCUCACUGAGAUGCUCAUUGACCCCAACUAAAUGCCCUAUAAUUGCCAAUCCAACGAAAUCCAGCUCAACUCCAACAAAAACUUAUUCAAGUCCUCAUCUCCAACCAGGAGUCUCUGUAGUCUCUUCAGAAAGUCUUACCAGCACAGAAUCAAUCACCAACACCAAAAUCCAAGGCAGAAGAAUCCCUCGAACACAGAAGACCCACCAAAGUAGAGACACCAAAGCAGAAGUCCUCCUUCAAUAAGAGCCACCAAGGUGUGGAAGAGGAGAUAUCAAUGGAUCCCCAGGUGGCCAAUAUAUUGAGGGACACCAUUAGUGUGUGGAUAAUGUCAUUUACAUUGUCUAUAUAUGUCGCCUUCGACAUCAGAAAUAAAUGGCAACACUUAGAGAAGAGAAGGAAAAGAAAAGAAAAAAUAAAGAAAUGUGCCUUUUUCUGGCAGCUGAAUGGGAUACUGGCAGUGACUUCUUCUAUUGAUCUGGGUGCUUUUAUUUGUUACGUCUGGACAAAACAUGGUUGCCCAGGGUUUUUUUUUGUGGAUGAUUGGAUGAACUGGCUUGUUUGGACUGUUAUAACAGUCUUCACGACGAUCUUAAUAACACUUUUGAAUAUACGUAUGGCUUUGUUUUCCUUCUUUAUGAUGCUGCAGUUUUCAGUGAAUAUCAGCAAUAUAGACAAUAUUAUCUUUUUUCUGCCGAUGCUAAGGAUGUUUUUGGCCUACUAUCAGUGGUGGUUCAUUCUCUACUGAUUCAGGCACAUUCUGUUUUACCUGUCACCAUGGGUACAAUGAAACCAGCAUCAACAUGGAGCACCAAAUAUCCCUGAAACCUACCCUGAUGGAACCCUUGCUGCCUGAUCUAUGAGGAUCUCCUGAGUCACAGACUUUAUUCUUUCUCACCUUAACUUAAGACUUGCAAUGAAGAGACAGUGAGCCCAAAGAAACUAAGUCUUUCAUUUAACACCCAAGACUACAGAAUAAACAGAAGGUUCUUCAGGCUAUUAAACUACUCUUUGUAAAUGAAUAAAAACAUUGGUGUAUACAUUGUAGGGUCACUGAAAGCCAGUUCAUGAUACCUCUGGCAGAGGACAGAAUGAUGGGAUUUAUUUGAACUUCUUGUUCACACACAGUUCUAAUUUCCUUCUUUAAGUCUUUAUGUUUUGAAAGCUUGCAUUCCAAGUAGCUCAGAUAUCAUGAGUUUUCAAUGUGAUGACUUCCAUUAAAAUUGUUCUUAAUUUUACAUAUAAGUUAUAACCAUCAUCCCCAAACCACAGAAUUUCAGAAUUGGGAGACAUGGUCUGGAAUCAAAAUGACCUUUGUUCAAAUUGGGCCUGAGUUACUAGCUAAGUGACCCUGGGCAAGUUGCUUAACUUCUGUUUGCCUCCAUUUCCUCAACUUCAAAACUGAGCUAAUAAAAUCUUUGAACUUACAA